UUUUUUAAAGAGGGAUGGAGCGAUAGUCACGAGCAACAAUUUUCCAGCACUGCAAAACGGGAACGGUGGAACUCGCGGGUGAUUGUGAGAGCCUCUGCAGGAAUUUGGCAGGCCCAGAGAUUGGAGAGGCGCCCCCACGCUGCGCUGCCAUUCAGUGGUCGAGCACGCUGUGUGGUUGGGAAGUUUGCACUGAGCCGUGGCCUCAAUAGCUUCACAAAGCUGAUUACAAGCCCCAGCGAGUUCGUGAAGGAAGCAGGCCAGUCACACAGGUGUGCGUUAGAUAGGGGGCAACCCUCCAGAGCGGGGCAAGGCGGGGGGACCACACAAAAAGCCAAAGUGUCCCGGGAAUUUGGUGGGAAACAAUUCUCUUAAAAGGAGGAGUGGAUGGAAGGUGGAAUAGUGAAGCACACAGACUGCAAGAAGGGAUGUUGCAGAGGGGAAGUGGAGUCUGCGUGGACAGUUGAUGACAACAGGAGCACCUGCUUCGAAAGACAGUGUGCCGGAUGGAGGGCAGAGGGGUUGGGGUGAUAAUGGCACACCCCACUGAGAGUUAUUACUUAAAGACUGUGCUGGGAUGAAAUGACAUUGUAAUGGGAGGGUACUUUAUGCCCUGUUUUCAAGGAACUAGGUAUUCUUACUUUACAGCUUAUCUUUGUCCCAUUUUGUCUCCUGUAGCUCUCUCUCUCUCUCUCUCUCUCUCUCUCUCAAUGUCUCUCUCUCCCCCUCUCUCUCUCCCUUUCUCAUAUAUCCCUUUUUCUUCCUUUAUAUUAUCCCUUCUUUAAAAGUCUUUAUGCUAAAAAAACUUAUACACUACUAGUUCAUAAAUUUGUCGGAUAAUAAUCAGAAAUGCUAAAAAUGUUUGAAUAAUUUGCUGGUAUUUUAGCUGAUACUAAGAAUAUCUCGGCUAACCCUCCAUGCAUUUGUGUGCCAAGAGUAAAUUUUUUAGAAUAUAUCAUUUAUUUAUGGAAGAAUGUAGAUCAUGGUGGGGUACAUACUAUAAUGCGCUUUGGAAAUAUUACAUAUUUGAGAAGUACAUUUGGACAUUUGAAAAAUACACAAGGGAUUAGUUGAGCAACAAGUGUGUGUGUGUGUGUGUGUGUGUGUGUGUGUGUGUGUGUGUGCUUGUGUGUAAGAGAGAGAGAGAGAGAGAGAGAGAGAAUAGGAUAUGGUUUGCAGUAGCCAACUCCCAGUGAGGGCCACACUCAUGCUGUGUGUAAUAAGUAGUUUCCUGCAUAAUUGUUUCAGGUCUUAUGUAUGGAGGGACUCCUUGGGCUCAUACACAAAGAAUCGUUAGCUCGGCUGGGCACUUUCCUCUUGGAUUCAAAAACGCUUUGAGAGACAGCUUUACUCUGAAGCAAAUCAGACCAGUAAUCAUCCUCACAGUCUCUAUGUUCAAGUGAAGGAGCAUGUGUCGACUAUAGGUGGCUAGUCCAUUAGCACCAAGUGUAAUUGUUUUACUUCACAGAGAAAGUGUGCACGUCUGUAGAUUCAUGACUCAGCCAUAGCAUUAAUGCAAGGUGAAUGGUUUUUGCUUCAAGACAGAAAAUACUGUUUUUCCUUUAUUCUUUGUUUGCAUAUACAAUGCAAUAUACAAUUUGGAUUUCUUUAUAAUUAAACCCUUCAGUGUAUAAUUUCCUUUAAUAAUUCUAAAGAUUUUUAAGGAAUAAUAUUAUGUCAUGACAGGAUAAUGCAGUUUAACAUACACGUAGUAAAAAAAAAUAUGGCAAUGGUUUUAUGAUGGUGAAUAUUAUAAAGUAGCAGAUAUUUAAAAAUCUGUAGGCAUUUCAACAUUUAAAUUGGGCCUAAAA